GGCUUUUAUUUUUUAUAUGAUAUAUUGUCUAUAAUCUUUCUGUAUUUAUAAAGUACCUUAUAUUAUUGAAUUGUGAUGGAUAAUGUUCCUCACUUGGCAUAUAAGUUGAGAGUUUUACUUGUCAGAUAUUAAAUAGAAUAUUCCUUUCCUUUUUAUUAAAUUUGUUUCUCCCUAUUAUAGUACUUUGAUGGGGCAGGGAAGAGAUUCUGAAAAGUUCGUGUUUAAAGGGGAAAAAAAUUGUGUUUUCAGUGUGGAUGAUAUUGCCAAGUUUAGCAUCAUUCAGUAUCCAGACAUGAUGCUAAAAUGUAUAGGCUGAAAACUGUGAAAGAAUAAAGUAUUCAAUCUGUAUUUGUCUUUACAGUGGACAUUGAGUUUUUCUUAAUAAAGAUUUAUGGUGUAAAUCAUAAGAACAAUGUGUAGAUAUGAAAGAUGUAGAAGAUAAAGAAUUUUUCUCAAUGUUGUCUUACUCUCAGAUCAGAUUUUGGAUACCAAUGUCACAUUGCUUGAUUUUCUGUUUUGAAACCUCUGUGAAUAGUAUCUGCAUUUUUCAUGAUACUACUUUCUUUAGUCAAAAGAGGAAAGAAAACUCCAUACCCUUUCUAGGAUCCUCAAAAGUGGUGGCUUAGAAGCCAUUGUAACAGAAUGGACUAUUACAUUGGCUGUGAUGGUGUGACACCCAAAAACAAGAACAUUCUGGUCAAAGAGCUCCCUCAAUUUCCAUCUUACUUCUGAGGCUAUUGCAGAAGAUACUUACACAAGGUACUGCACAGUGGGAUCAAAGCCCAAAGCAGAAUUCCACAACAACUCAGUCUGUAUUUCGUUUUUGGUAUUUUUAUUUUCCUAAAAUUUUCAUUGCAUCUAACAACCUUUUCAAUAGUCUUGACUCUCAGUUUCUAUUGCUUCCUCAGUAUUCUGCGUUUUAUCUUUUUACUGUGAAGAGGGUUUGAAGUCUGCAGUAAUAAAUGGCCUUGAGGCCAGAUAGAAUGGGAUUAACUCCAAAUAGAAUAGUGAACCGAAGCUGGAGCAAUUGGCUAAGCGCUAUAAAGAUAUAUAUACAGUUAUGUAGGCUAGUCAAUAACUUCAGCAUUUUUUCUUGUUAAAUAGCAAGUUAUGUAAUGCCUAUGUUACAACAGACAAGGGACUGAAUAUGUAGAGAAGUGCCCUAUAUCACUUGAAUUAACCGGAUUUUGAAUAAUUUUACUCACAAAGAAUAAAAUUCAAAUUCUAUAGAAGUACUGUAACAAAGGUUGAAUAUUGAAUUUGCUGGGAGUUCAUGU